UCGAACGAUGAAGCCCAGCUUGCUGGGUGGAUUAGUGGCGAACGGGUGAGUAACACGUGAGUAACCUGCCCUUGACUCUGGGAUAAGCGCUGGAAACGGCGUCUAAUACCGGAUACGACCUGCCCCGGCAUCGGGUGUGGGUGGAAAGUUUUUCGGUCAAGGAUGGACUCGCGGCCUAUCAGCUUGUUGGUGAGGUAAUGGCUCACCAAGGCGACGACGGGUAGCCGGCCUGAGAGGGUGACCGGCCACACUGGGACUGAGACACGGCCCAGACUCCUACGGGAGGCAGCAGUGGGGAAUAUUGCACAAUGGGCGCAAGCCUGAUGCAGCAACGCCGCGUGGGGGAUGACGGCCUUCGGGUUGUAAACCUCUUUUAGUAGGGAAGAAGGGCUUCGGCUUGACGGUACCUGCAGAAAAAGCACCGGCUAACUACGUGCCAGCAGCCGCGGUAAUACGUAGGGUGCAAGCGUUGUCCGGAAUUAUUGGGCGUAAAGAGCUCGUAGGCGGUUUGUCGCGUCUGCUGUGAAAACCCGAGGCUCAACCUCGGGCCUGCAGUGGGUACGGGCAGACUAGAGUGCGGUAGGGGAGAAUGGAAUUCCUGGUGUAGCGGUGGAAUGCGCAGAUAUCAGGAGGAACACCGAUGGCGAAGGCAGUUCUCUGGGCCGUAACUGACGCUGAGGAGCGAAAGCGUGGGGAGCGAACAGGAUUAGAUACCCUGGUAGUCCACGCCGUAAACGUUGGGCGCUAGAUGUGGGGACCUUUCCACGGUUUCCGUGUCGCAGCUAACGCAUUAAGCGCCCCGCCUGGGGAGUACGGCCGCAAGGCUAAAACUCAAAGGAAUUGACGGGGGGCCCGCACAAGCGGCGGAGCAUGCGGAUUAAUUCGAUGCAACGCGAAGAACCUUACCAAGGCUUGACAUAUACCGGAAACUUCCAGAAAUGUUGCCCGCAAGGUCGGUAUACAGGUGGGUGCAUGGGUUGUCGUCCAGCUCCGUGUC
rnacentral:rRNA from 1 species